GACGAACGCUGGCGGCGUGCUUAACACAUGCAAGUCGAAGGAAAGGCCCUGCUUUUGUGGGGUGCUCGAGUGGCGAACGGGUGAGUAACACGUGAGUAACCUGCCCUUGACUUUGGGAUAACUUCAGGAAACUGGGGCUAAUACCGGAUAGGAGCUCCUGCUGCAUGGUGGGGGUUGGAAAGUUUCGGCGGUUGGGGAUGGACUCGCGGCUUAUCAGCUUGUUGGUGGGGUAGUGGCUUACCAAGGCUUUGACGGGUAGCCGGCCUGAGAGGGUGACCGGCCACAUUGGGACUGAGAUACGGCCCAGACUCCUACGGGAGGCAGCAGUGGGGAAUAUUGCACAAUGGGCGGAAGCCUGAUGCAGCAACGCCGCGUGCGGGAUGACGGCCUUCGGGUGGUAAACCGCUUUCGCCUGUGACGAAGCGUGAGUGACGGUAAUGGGUAAAGAAGCACCGGCUAACUACGU
rnacentral:rRNA from 1 species